UACAGAGGUCCCAAGCGUUGUUCGGAUUCACUGGGCGUAAAGGGUGCGUAGGUGGUGAGGUAAGUCGGAUGUGAAAGCCCCGAGCUCAACUUGGGAAUUGCAGUGGAUACUGGCGAGCUAGAGUGCGGUAGAGGAAGGUGGAAUUCCCGGUGUAGCGGUGAAAUGCGUAGAGAUCGGGAGGAACACCAGUGGCGAAGGCGGCCUUCUGGACCAGCACUGACACUCAAGCACGAAAGCGUGGGGAGCAAACAGG
rnacentral:rRNA from 1 species